rnacentral:rRNA from 1 species
AUUGAACGCUGGCGGCAGGCCUAACACAUGCAAGUCGAACGGUAACAGGAAGACGCUUGCUUCUUUGCUGACGAGUGGCGGACGGGUGAGUAAUGUCUGGGAAACUGCCUGAUGGAGGGGGAUAACUACUGGAAACGGUAGCUAAUACCGCAUAACGUCGCAAGACCAAAGAGGGGGACCUUCGGGCCUCUUGCCAUCGGAUGUGCCCAGAUGGGAUUAGCUAGUAGGUGGGGUAACGGCUCACCUAGGCGACGAUCCCUAGCUGGUCUGAGAGGAUGACCAGCCACACUGGAACUGAGACACGGUCCAGACUCCUACGGGAGGCAGCAGUGGGGAAUAUUGCACAAUGGGCGCAAGCCUGAUGCAGCCAUGCUGCGUGUAUGAAGAAGGCCUUCGGGUUGUAAAGUACUUUCAGCGGGGAGGAAGGGAGUAAAGUUAAUACCUUUGCUCAUUGACGUUACCCGCAGAAGAAGCACCGGCUAACUCCGUG